GCAUUUAUGGCAGAGUGGACGAUAGCACGGGACUCAUAAUCUCGCUCUGAAAAGACACCGCUGGUUCGAAUCCAGCUGAAUGCA
rnacentral:tRNA from 1 species